rnacentral:rRNA from 1 species
UGUCAAGCUACAAAGGACUCACGGU